rnacentral:rRNA from 1 species
AGUGAACGCUGGCGGUAGGCCUAACACAUGCAAGUCGAACGGCAGCACAGUAAGAGCUUGCUCUUACGGGUGGCGAGUGGCGGACGGGUGAGGAAUACAUCGGAAUCUACUUUUUCGUGGGGGAUAACGUAGGGAAACUUACGCUAAUACCGCAUACGACCUACGGGUGAAAGCAGGGGAUCUUCGGACCUUGCGCGAUUGAAUGAGCCGAUGUCGGAUUAGCUAGUUGGCGGGGUAAAGGCCCACCAAGGCGACGAUCCGUAGCUGGUCUGAGAGGAUGAUCAGCCACACUGGAACUGAGACACGGUCCAGACUCCUACGGGAGGAAGCAGUGGGGAAUAUUGGACAAUGGGCGCAAGCCUGACCCAGCCAUCCCGCGUGGGUGAAGAAGGCCUUCGGGUUGUAAAGCCCUUUUGUUGGGAAAGAAAAGCAGCAGGUUAAUACCCCGCUGUUCUGACGGUACCCAAAGAAUAAGCACCGGCUAACUUCGUG